rnacentral:rRNA from 1 species
GACGAACGCUGGCGGCGUGCUUAACACAUGCAAGUCGUACGGUAAGGCCCUUUCGGGGGUACACGAGUGGCGAACGGGGGAGUAACACGUGAGUAACCUGCCCACAACUUUGGGAUAACGCUAGGAAACUGGUGCUAAUACUGGAUAUGUGCUCCUGCUGCAUGGUGGGGGUUGGAAGGCUCCGGCGGUUGUGGAUGGACUCGCGGCCUAUCAGCUUGUUGGUGGGGUAGUGGCCUACCAAGGCGGCGACGGGUAGCCGGCCUGAGAGGGUGACCGGCCACAUUGGGACUGAGGUACGGCCCAGGCUCCUACUGGAGGCAGCAGUGGGGAAGCUUGCUCAAUGGGCGCAAGCCUGGUGCAGCAGCGCCGCGGGCGGGAUGACGGCCUUCGGGUUGUAAACCGCUUUCAGCAGGGACGAAGCUUUUUGUGACGGUACCUGCAGAAGAAGCACCGGCUAACUACGUG